CCCCCGCGGCACCCGCGCCCGGCCGCGCUGCCCCCGGCACGGCGGACCCCGCACCCGGCCGUCCCUCGGUCACCAGCAGCUGCCACUGCUGCCAGCACGACAGCCGGGAACAGCCUUUUGUGCAGACAGGACCACGGCUGUGGGAGCUCCCAGGGCAGGCACUGCGCCCUGGCCAAGCGGGCGGCCACGCGGUGAGCCGCGGGCAGCGGGACCUGCAGCCCCAGCCCCCGGCCGGCCCCGCCUGGCCCCAGCGGAGCGCAGCCCACUGACCACAGCAGUGCCCGACUCCCGGCACUGCUCCCGCCCCAGCUCUGCUGCCGGCUGCGAUGCCUGGUGUCCUGCUGAGUCACAGCCACAGUACUGCCAGGCACAAAGGCUCUUUCGGGCUGAGCCUGCUCCCACGGGAAGCUUCCUCCACCUGUCAAAAAGCACGUACAUUUUCAUUCGCGUUGUUGAUUUAUCUAGGAGUUAACCACCCCAGUAUCAGUAAAGAGAUCACUCGCUAUGGGUUCAAGACACCUACAUGAAAUCUGCAGAUUGCUGGUGAAGGAUGGCAGGCUGCCUCUGUCUCUAGCACAGGACCAGAGGAUGAAGGAAGAGAUAAGCUCUAAAGAAAAGCCACCAGCACCGACUCUGUGGGCCAGACCAUGAGCACCAAACCCAUCUCCAGUCUCCUCUGGCAAGAAGUAAGCCCAAAUACAUAAAAACCUUUAAAAGAUAAA